CGAACUUAUUUUCUUUUAUUUCACAAACAUUUAAAUUAUGGGGCUAUGCAUGUGUGGCUUCCCAAAAAUAAAUCUGCAAUCAAUGUCGAAGGUUUGGACUAAGAUCGACUUCUCAGAUACGAAGCAUUAUUUAUUCGCUUUAUCAACUAGUCAAUACAACUUGGAAGCUCACAAUAUUCAAGGGCCAUUUUUCACACAUGCACCCAAGACGAUGAAAUUGAUGAGUAAUUCCUGCAGCACAAGAAAUUCGUGUCGGAAAAUAAAUGGAAUAAUCAAUUUUCGCUUGUCGCUCUGACCAAAUCGUGUCAAUGUUUUGAGAACGUCUCUUUUUAUUGUGCCCAUGUAUGUAUGUAUGUUUGUAAAUAUUGUAUUUCUUUUUCCCAUGUGAUGUACAACAUUUCGAUAUGCAAAUGCUUUGGGAAAAGGCAGACUGAUUUAAAUAUAUUUAUGUGUGAUGCCAGCCAGCGAUGUAAACAUUCCAUACAUAUACAUAUAUGUAUAUAGUUUUCCCUCCUCUGGGCCACAAACCGCAAAGACAGGGGCUCAAGUAAACUCUGCCUUUCGAAUUUGCGGCGAGGAAAUUGUAUAAAAAUGUAAUUCCCAAACAUUUGAACGAAAUGACGAAAGGGGGGGAAUAGGAAAAGGAAUAGGAACAGGAAUAGGAAUAGACGACCCAAAAGUAUAACAAAUAAACUCGGUAGCGAUUCCUUGGAGCGUUCAUCAAAGCAAAAUUGAUAUCAAUCAUACGCACACAACCGCCCUCACAAUCGUAUCUCCGUCUAUCUGAUGGCAAAUUGAAACAUUAUAUAAAGAAUUGGCCCGGCCAGCCCACAAACUACCCAUUCGGCAAAUUGCCCUUAAAAAUAAAACACCAUUAAGGAGAGCCACAAGAAAAAGUGUAUUAAAUUUAAAGGAAUUUCCACGAGUUAUUCUUAGUUGUCGUCCGUUUUUGUUUGGCAAAAAAAACUGAAAAGGGAAGGGAAAACCUUCAAUGGAUUUUCCUCCUCUUUGGCUUCAACUUUAAAGGUGAAGAAACAAAACAAAGGCAGCAAAAUGAAAACAAAGCCGCCGCGGCCAGGCGUGACAUUGCUGGAAAUGUAUGCGGCGGAAAAUGAAGUCAUUACUCGAAGAUCCCGCAGACUUAGCUUUGCCGUUUACCCUUUCGGAAAACCCUAGUUUUUUUGCUGGUUUUCCUCUGGCGAAGUGUCAACGGCAGUCGUGCGUCUCCAUUCCAGCGCCACAGCCACGCAUCGCAUCCUUUGGAUGUCCUGCUCCUGCUACUGCUCCUGUUCCUCUGACGAUGAUGAUGACGAUGACUCCACCCAACCGCUUGUCGCACAAUAAAAGUAGCAAUAAGAAACACAAGUAACGAUGAUGCCAAGGAUCUGGAUGGAGACAUGAAUAUCCUGUCGGUAGUCGCUAGUCGGUAAUGGAAUAAAUCAAAACUGACGGAGAAGCUCACAGCAGAUACCCAAAUAAAUUGAGAGCUUCUGAUUAAAAGGCCUUUCAGCUAACCAGCCAGAAGCCUGGGAUCUAUUAUACCAUCGCCGGCUGUUAAAGGCAAGUGGAGCCGGGUGACACGUGUUAAGAAAUUCCCCACAUGCACAUGCACAUGGCACAUGGCAACUGGCAACUGGCAACUGGCCGGCAGUUGAAAUGCCACACAGCAGCAAAAUGGACAGCGGACCGGGGUCUCAUGCAUAUGCACAACAUGGGAGAUCCUCGGACCCGACCAGAGACCCUUUUACUUGUUUCAUAACAAAUGACUAACAACAUGGCCGAGCGACUGGCCAGAGCUAGAUAAACAGCCCCAGCUGCAAAGGCACAAGAGAAAUGCAUGCCGUCGUACUUGUAUCUGCAUCUCUGGAUCUGAAUCUGGAUCUGGAGUUGGGCAUCAGUGGAUCUGCACAGCGGGCCGAUUAGUCGAAAUGAUGAUCAAAGUGCUGAAGCCUGGGAUUGGGAGCAAGGGGCAUCCACAUCUACAUCCACAACCACAUACACAAUCCAAAUCCAGAUCCAUUGAUUGCGUGUGGCAAACAAACGCCACAGCGGGCCACUUUGGAUCGGCAGGAAGCGCCUUUUGGGGCGCUUAUCGAGAUCGUUGUUAUCUUCUGCAAAAUCGCCCAGUGGUCAGUAGUUCGAAUAGAGAUUCGAGACUCGAGACUUGCCACUAUCGAUUCGCCGGCUUAAUAUUCAAUUUGUGCCAGCGUUUGUUGACUAUGCCCACACCAGCCAGGAUGCCAUGUAUUUGUAUAUUGAAAAUUGCCUCCAACCCGCUGGCGGCUUAACUAUCCACCUCACUUUCCCUCGGCAGUAAAUGCCAAAAUCCUCGAUCAUAGUCUGCAACCAUCAGCCGUUGCAGAGAGAAAAAUUAUAUAAAUAAUAGA